GCUGUCCGCAUUGAGAACCUGGAGCUGAUGUCGCAGCACGGCUGUAACGCCUGGAAGGUCUACAACGAGCAUCUGGUUCAUAUGAUAGAACAAGCCCAGAAAGAGCUUCAGAAGUUGAGG